rfam:Paludisphaera borealis strain PX4, complete genome.
GGGGGGGACCCGGGCAAUGGGGGUUUGUGAACCUGGUCAGGGCGGGAACGCAGCAGCCAUAAGCAUCACCCUCAUGUGCGCGGGAGAACCUCCCCGGC